UCCAGGGGCGGCGGGGAGCGGAGAGCCGAGCUCGCUCUGAACUCCGCAGCUUGAGCUCGCCGCUACAAUGAGCCGGCCCUGCGCCUGGAUGCGCCGGUGGCGGAGCCGCAGGGAGCUGCCCUUAUUUAUUUGUUCCUACGGCACAGGCACAGACAAGGGCCCUGUUUUAUGUUCCCCUGCAGGAAGGUGAUAAAGUGCUCGGGAGCUGCUGGAAUCCAUUCUCCAAUAAAUUCAAAGGGAAAGGUCAUUUUUUUUGUGCCUUGGAAGCUUGUGAGGGCUGAGGGAUGCUGGAAGGCAUUGAAAACUGAGGCAGCACAUCGCACACUGGUGUGGAAGGAAGCCACCGGAGCAAUUUUUCUGGAACCAGCUCUGAAAAAAAUCUGCAUUGGUGUCUGGCGGGAAUAUCUGGAGCCUUGGAGCUUGGCCUGAUGCUUCUCAUUGAAAUGAGCAGGAAUUUUGUCACUUGCUUCUCUGGCCUAAGUUUGCUCCUGAGGCUGGCUAAGGAAAAGGGACCUGCAGGUUUGCUGCUGACCAGCAGGCAGUGCAUGCAGCUGGAGGCCCAGGACCGAGGAUGAAUUGGAGAGAUAUGCUAUCUGUGAGCACCAAUGCCUGUCUAGCCUUGUACACCCUGUAGGAAAAAGAAGAAUUUCUGAAAAAGACAACCCGCCAAGAGAGAGGCUGGGCAGUGCAUGCCUUGUUUCUCACUCUCUUUCCAUCAGCACCCACUGCUGAGCCCUUGUGGAAGCAGGCUGCAGAAGGAAAGACCUGUCAGAGCCAGGAUGGCUCUAGUGACAAAGCUACAGUGAUUUAAGAGCUUAUGAACAUGGGGUGCUUCAGACACUGUGCAAAUAGAAAGAAGAUCCUGCCUAGCAGCUAAUCCCUGAGACCUUUUAAUGACCAGGGCUCUUGUGGCUUUCUUCUUGUGAUUCCUGGGUCUGGGUACUCUGACAUCUGUCCACGUGGUGUAAGAUUUGAAGCCCAUACUCCAAAAGCCAGUCUGAUAGUCAAGAAACAGUGGUUUGGGCAAUUUUUCAAUCCUCCAGCAUAUUUUGGGGCAUAAUGUUGAUGAGCUGUAGUGAAACUCCCAGGCAGGUGAGGUGGCUGAGCCAGCAGAGGUGUUGCAAGGUGCUGCUGAGUGCCACUGCUGCAGCAAAUGCUGUGAGCAGCCGGUGACUCAGGUCUCUGCUGUAUUUCCUAAUGAAAGUCUGAAGGAUCUGGUGUCUUUAUUAAUCACUACAGCUCAGCUCUCCACUGUUAGUAUCUUCCCAUGGUUUUGUGUAUCUUGGCAUGGUUAGAUAACCAAACAAUUUUUUGAGUGCUCUGAUGAGAAAAAAACACUGGUAGCAGACACCCAGGAGGCAGCACCAUGGGCUGAGUUAAAACUCCAGGGCUGUUCUUUGUUACACUUGAGGUGAAAAGCUCAGGACCACUGCACCAUCACUGUAUGGUGCUCCCUAUUUCAGGAUGAGCCUGACAUGGAUGAAAAAGAAGAGCUGGAAUGGCUGAGCAAACAGGUCUGCAGCUGAGGAGAGUUUCCACCAUGCUCUGUGGGAUUUCUGUGAGUCCAGCAGCUCACAGGAUGUGUUAAUAAGUAUGCUGCAGCUUUUCUACUCAUUUAGUGCACUACACUCCACACCUCCUUGAGAGCCUAUAUGGAAUGAACUGCAUCUAGUGCAGCCAAGGGGAGCUGCAUCCUCUUGCUUGCUACAUUGCUGCUUUGGUGGUACCUUUUGUGUCUGAGAGGAUUAGAAGCACCUGAGCACCCAGAAUUUAACACUGUGACUCCACCAUAUGUGCUACUCUGUGAGCUCAGUCUUGGCGGCUCCUUCGUUGGCCUGGGAGAUUUUAGGUCAGGUAUGUUGCUCUGCCCACACCUGGUACACCUGCCUGAAGGUGUAACUUGCUGCGCUGCCUACUGCUUUUAUUUGCACAAGUUUUCAAAAGUGUCAGAGUGGCCAGACCUGAUGGAUUACCUGCCUGAAGUAGGUGGAUGAUCAGCUGAAGUGUUUUCUUGAGCAUAUAUAGAUUCCUACUUGUGUUGUGAUAUUUUAAUUGCCGAGUUCAGCCUGCAGACUGAAUUGGUGAACUCUCCUUGGUAUUCUGUGUUCUGAAGUGAAACCCCUUUGUCAGGACACUUCCCUCUUUCCUAUAUAAAAGAAAAUAGGAUUUUAUGUUUGAGUAAAUAGAACAUAAAGCGCAAUCCAGAAGGUCAAUUUAAUGUGAGAUUGCUUUAUGCUGAUUGGCAAGAAUACACUUCUGUUUGUUAUUCUUAGGUUUUGAUGAUAUUCUCUUACUGUGAGAAAUGAGCACUGCCAAGAAGAGCUGAAGACAUGGCUUAGCUAUGAAGGGGAAGUACAAAAGGCUGACAAUGCAGGAAAAAUACACUGCAAAACAUACACACAGGGGACUGAUUCUCUUAAGCUGUGUGACUGCUGGGGCGCCCAAGGACUUGUGGUUUCCUUGAAAGGCACCCACACAGAUUUCGUUUCCCUGCAGUGCACACUCAUGACCCCAUGGUAUUUCUGGCAAGUGCCCAUCAUGUGCCUGCCAGCAGCUGCAUGUGUGAAACACAACAAUCAGAUGUGCUGCUGGCUGGGGAGCCUGAAGUCAUCCUGAGGCAGAAGCCUGAAGAUAUUGAGGUGCUAUCGAUGUUCCUGGGCAGGAGGCAGAGCUGAUGCCUGAUGCUUGCCCCUCCCAGUCCCUGCAGGACUUUGGACACUCCUUUUUAUGAUGAUGAUCUUCCUAACUCCUGGUCAUGCUGGAUCAUCACUGCAUACCCAGCCACCUACAUGACUGCCAGGACAGUGAUAACCCACCUUGUCUCUUGAGGGUGGCUCAGAUUACAGCCAAAGAAAAAAUAUUGUCUGCUCCAUUGGUCUCCAGGCCCAACACUUGUAUGGGACACGUUACCUGCUAGGUACUCCCACAUGACUCAUGACCACAAAAAUAAUAAAAAACUAAUGGGUAAGCUGGCCUA